rnacentral:lncRNA from 1 species
CAAUGUAAAUGAAAUAAGAAAAAGAUAUUGGAAUAACUAGACUAGUAUGCCAGCGAGCAGUCAGACUAACUGAAGGGUGAAGUUUAAUCGCGGUUACAAUCAAGACGAGAAUAAAUACAAUGUAAUAAAAGAAUUUAGAG